UACGAAAGGGGCUAGCGUUGUUCGGAAUUACUGGGCGUAAAGCGCACGUAGGCGGCCUUGUAAGAUGGGGGUGAAAUCCCCGGGCUCAACCCGGGAAUUGCCUUCAUGACUGCAAAGCUCGAGGAUGCGAUAGGUGAAUGGAAUUCCGAGUGUAGAGGUGAAAUUCGUAGAUAUUCGGAAGAACACCAGUGGCGAAGGCGAUUCACUGGCGCAUUUCUGACGCUGAGGUGCGAAAGCUUGGUGAGCAAACAGG
rnacentral:rRNA from 1 species